rnacentral:rRNA from 1 species
AUGAACGCUGGCGGCGUGCCUCAUACAUGCAAGUCGAACGCAUAGCGAAAGGUGCUUGCACCUUUCAAGUGAGUGGCGAACGGGUGAGUAACACGUGGACAACCUGCCUCAAGGCUGGGGAUAACAUUUGGAAACAGAUGCUAAUACCGAAUAAAACUUAGUGUCGCAUGACACAAAGUUAAAAGGCGCUUCGGCGUCACCUAGAGAUGGAUCCGCGGUGCAUUAGUUAGUUGGUGGGGUAAAGGCCUACCAAGACAAUGAUGCAUAGCCGAGUUGAGAGACUGAUCGGCCACAUUGGGACUGAGACACGGCCCAAACUCCUACGGGAGGCUGCAGUAGGGAAUCUUCCACAAUGGGCGAAAGCCUGAUGGAGCAACGCCGCGUGUGUGAUGAAGGCUUUCGGGUCGUAAAGCACUGUUGUAUGGGAAGAACAGCUAGAAUAGGAAAUGAUUUUAGUUUGACGGUACCAUACCAGAAAGGGACGGCUAAAUACGUG